rnacentral:rRNA from 1 species
AUUGAACGCUGGCGGCAGGCCUAACAUAUGCAAGUCGAGCGGAUGACGGGAGCUUGCUCCUUGAUUCAGCGGCGGACGGGUGAGUAAUGCCUAGGAAUCUGCCUGGUAGUGGGGGACAACGUUUCGAAAGGAACGCUAAUACCGCAUACGUCCUACGGGAGAAAGCAGGGGACCUUCGGGCUUUGCGCUAUCAGAUGAGCCUAGGUCGGAUUAGCUAGUUGGUGGGGUAAUGGCUCACCAAGGCGACGAUCCGUAACUGGUCUGAGAGGAUGAUCAGUCACACUGGAACUGAGACACGGUCCAGACUCCUACGGGAGGCAGCAGUGGGGAAUAUUGGACAAUGGGCGAAAGCCUGAUCCAGCCAUGCCGCGUGUGUGAAGAAGGUCUUCGGAUUGUAAAGCACUUUAAGUUGGGAGGAAGGGCAGUAAGCUAAUACCUUGCUGUUUUGACGUUACCGACAGAAUAAGCACCGGCUAACUCUGUGCCAGCAGCCGCGGUAAAAC